rnacentral:rRNA from 1 species
AUGAACGCUGGCGGCGUGCUUCACCCCUGCCAGUCGCACGGUGAAGCCAAGCUUGCUUGGUGGAUCAGUGGCGAACGGGUGAGUAACACGUGAGCAACCUGCCCUGGACUCUGGGAUAAGCGCUGGAAACGGCGUCUAAUACUGGAUAUGAGCCUCUUCCGCAUGGUGGGGGUUGGAAAGAUUUUUUGGUCUGGGAUGGGCUCGCGGCCUAUCAGCUUGUUGGUGAGGUAAUGGCUCACCAAGGCGUCGACGGGUAGCCGGCCUGAGAGGGUGACCGGCCACACUGGGACUGAGACACGGCCCAGACUCCUACGGGAGGCAGCAGUGGGGAAUAUUGCACAAUGGGCGAAAGCCUAAUGCAGCAACGCCGCGUGAGGGAUGACGGCCUUCGGGUUGUAAACCUCUUUUAGCAGGGAAGAAGCGAAAGUGACGGUACCUGCAGAAAAAGCGCCGGCUAACUACGUG